rnacentral:rRNA from 1 species
UGAGUAACGCGUGAGGAACCUGCCUUUCAGAGGGGGACAACAGUUGGAAACGACUGCUAAUACCGCAUGACACAUUGGGGUCGCAUGGCCCUGAUGUCAAAGAUUUAUCGCUGAAAGAUGGCCUCGCGUCUGAUUAGCCUAAGUUGGUGAGGUUAAACGGGCCCACCAAGGCGACGAUCAGUAGCCGGACUGAGAGGUUGACCGGCCACAUUGGGACUGAGAUACGGCCCAGACUCCUACGGGAGGCAGCAGUGGGGAAUAUUGGGCAAUGGGCGCAAGCCUGACCCAGCAACGCCGCGUGAAGGGAAGAAGGCUUUCGGGUUGUAAACUUCUUUUGUCAGGGACGAGUAGAAGACGGUACCUGACGAAUAAGCCACGGCUAACUACGUG